AAAUGAAUCUACAUACACGAAACUCCUUAGUCCAUACACUUUAUUAGUCUGUGUCAGUUCUCUCUCUAUACAGCUUCUGUUCUGCUCUCAUGCCUAGCUCCUUUCUUGCCUGAUUUCUCUCUACAUUUAUCUGCUGAUCCCUCUAAAUUCUGUCUUAAUUCUCUCAUCCUAGUUCUGCCCCAUCUAGGCUCCCAUCCAUCUAGUUCUUUCCCAUCUUAGCUCCUCUCCCAUCUCCUUCUUCCUCAUCUUGUUCUUCCCCAUCUGGCUCUUCCUCAUCUUCCAUCUCGUUCCUCUAGUCCUCUCUUCUAGCCCUUCAAUCUAGUUCUUCCCCACCUAGUUCAUUCCUCUCCAGUUCUCACCCAUCUAGUUCUUCCAUUCUCUUUUCUCUUCUCCAUCUCUUCCUCUGAAAAUAAAACUGCCUUUUAUCCCUUUGGUCCUUAUCUCUCCAAGCUGUCUCUGUUCCCGCUGUUUCUGGUAAGUGUGCUCUGUUGCUAGGCAACUUGGCUAGGCAACUUCCCUCACAGCUAGAUGUACCUGUAAGUUGGAAUUUAGUUCUGAGUUAAUUGUUAAGGGUGGUUCUAAAACUGGAGAUAAGACUUUGGAAAGGAGAAAGUUAAGCUUAACUAGCACAUCUGCCAGGCCUUCUCAAAUAGAUAGUCUGGAUGCUUACGUCUGUUCUUCGAGAAUCUGUGAAGUAUCUCAGCCCCUGGCUCGGACAUGGUGAACGGGUGGUGGUCUCGUGGGAGCAACCGCUACAGGAGAGAUACCCGUCCCUCCCAUACAUCAAUGCCUGAGGAACUUGAAACACCGAGAGAUUUAAAAGCUCACCCAAAUUCUAAGGACUACUAAGUCAGAAAACCAGACUUUGGAUGCAGGGGGCUACGGUGCACAUAGAGAUCAGAGGAAAACAUGAAAGAAUUGGUUCUCUUCUCCCACCACGUGGGCUCUAAGGGUCAAACACAGGUAAUCAGGUAUGGCAAUAGGUAAUUUUCCUCAUUCAGCUAUAUUGCUGGUUCAGGCAUUGAUAUUUUAUUGUUAUCCAAAAUACUUUUCGGUCUUUGUGGUCUUACAAUCAAUACUAUUUUUGUAUUUACUUGCUUUAAAUUGACCUUCAUGUAAGCAGUAGUCUAAGAAUGUAGGCAAGAAUGUCUAUAGCACCUUUACUAUAUCAAACUUAACAAUCUAAAAUAGAACUUUGUUUA